GCUCAGGACGAACGCUGGCGGCGUGCUUAACACAUGCAAGUCGAGCGGUAAGGCCUUUCGGGGUACACGAGCGGCGAACGGGUGAGUAACACGUGGGUGAUCUGCCCUGCACUUCGGGAUAAGCCUGGGAAACUGGGUCUAAUACCGGAUAUGACCUCCUAUCGCAUGGUGGGUGGUGGAAAGAUUUAUCGGUGCAGGAUGGGCCCGCGGCCUAUCAGCUUGUUGGUGGGGUAAUGGCCUACCAAGGCGACGACGGGUAGCCGACCUGAGAGGGUGACCGGCCACACUGGGACUGAGACACGGCCCAGACUCCUACGGGAGGCAGCAGUGGGGAAUAUUGCACAAUGGGCGAAAGCCUGAUGCAGCGACGCCGCGUGAGGGAUGACGGCCUUCGGGUUGUAAACCUCUUUCAGCAGGGACGAAGCGCAAGUGACGGUACCUGCAGAAGAAGCACCGGCUAACUACGUGCCAGCAGCCGCGGUAAUACGUAGGGUGCAAGCGUUGUCCGGAAUUACUGGGCGUAAAGAGUUCGUAGGCGGUUUGUCGCGUCGUUUGUGAAAACCAGCAGCUCAACUGCUGGCUUGCAGGCGAUACGGGCAGACUUGAGUACUGCAGGGGAGACUGGAAUUCCUGGUGUAGCGGUGAAAUGCGCAGAUAUCAGGAGGAACACCGGUGGCGAAGGCGGGUCUCUGGGCAGUAACUGACGC
rnacentral:rRNA from 1 species